GCCAGAGCUCAGGAAUGAGUGGGGCCUCUGGUGUGAAAGCUUUCCAGAUGGGGGAAGGAAGGAGAGACUGAGCUGGGGGCAGCCAGGUCUUGUGCAAGAGGCCAGCCAAGCAAAAGGGCAGACGGUACCAGAAAGAUCUGUGCACAUCCAAAAGCACUGAAACGAAGCUGGAUGUCAUGUCUGGAGUGAUGGCUGGGGCCACAGCAGCCAUCUUGUUGUGAUGAAGGCAACUACUCAGAGAGUCAAGCCAACACACUAAAGACGACAGAAUGGAACCGUGGAAAGAACUGGGGUCCUGGUGCCACAUUCAGCACCUAGAGCCACCCAUCUCUGGACUUUUUCCUGAGAUCAUCAGUUCCUUCACUGUUCAGUGAGGGACCCCUAGCUCAAUCCAGUAUUAUUAA